AGCGAACGCUGGCGGCAGGCUUAACACAUGCAAGUCGAGCGGAUGUAGCAAUACAUCAGCGGCAGACGGGAGAGUAACACGUGGGAACGUACCCUUCAGUUCGGAACAACCCAGGGAAACGUUGGGCUAAUACCGGAUACGUCCGUAAGGAGAAAGAUUUAUCGCUGAGGGAUCGGCCCGCGUCUGAUUAGCUAGUUGGUGAGGUAACGGCUCACCAAGGCGACGAUCAGUAGCUGGUCUGAGAGGAUGAUCAGCCUCACUGGGACUGAGACACGGCCCAGACUCCUACGGGAGGCAGCAGUGGGGAAUAUUGGACAAUGGGCGCAAGCCUGAUCCAGCCAUGCCGCGUGGGUGAUGAAGGCCCUAGGGUUGUAAAGCCCUUUCGGCGGGGAA
rnacentral:rRNA from 1 species